rnacentral:rRNA from 1 species
GAUGAACGCUGGCGGCGUGCCUAACACAUGCAAGUCGAACGGAAAGACAAUGAGCUUGUGCUUUUGACGGUAGCGGCGGACGGGCGAGUAACACGUGGAUCAGCUACUUAUAUUUCUGGGAUAAUUACGGGAAACAGGAGAUAAUACUGGAUAAUAUGUCGAACCGUAGGGUUCGAUAGUGAAUGAUGGCUUUCGUGUCUGUAAUAGCUGGUCCCGCGCCGGAUUAGCUAGUUGGUAAGGUAACGGCCUACCAAGGCGACGAUACGUAGCCGAACUGAGAGGGUGAUCGGCCACACUGGAACUGAGACACGGUCCAGACUCCUACGGGAGGCAGCAGUAGGGAAUCUUCCGCAAUGGGCGAAAGCCUGACGCAGCAACGCCGCGUGAGUGAUGAAGGUCUUCGGAUCGUAAAGCUCUGUUGUUGGGGAAGAACAUCCGUAUAAGUAACUGUGCACGUCUUGACGGUACCUAAUCAAAAAGCCACGGCUAACUACGUG